AUAUAACAUGGCCUCCCCCUCACCAGGGGUACACUACAGACCAUAUAUAACAUGACCUCCCCCUCACCAGGGGUACACUACAGACCAUAUAUAACAUGGUCCCCCCCUCACCAGGGGUACACUACAGACCAUAUAUAACAUGGCCUCCCCCUCACCAGGUGUACACUACAGACCAUAUAUAACAUGGCCUCCCCCUCACCAGGGGUACACUACAGACCAUAUAUAACAUGGCCUCCCCCUCACCAGGUGUACACUACAGACCAUAUAUAACAUGGCCUCCCCCUCACCAGGUGUACACUACAGACCAUAUAUAACAUGGCCUCCCCCUCACCAGGGGUACACUACAGACCAUAUAUAACAUGGCCUCCCCCUCACCAGGUGUACACUACAGAUCCUGUUUGACUCCUGUAUAACAAACCAUUAAACCAUACAACUACAGCAUGUUCUGUACCCAGAGUUAUCUCUCUUGUUUUAUUCAACCAAUUCAAACAUCAUCUUAUAGUCGAUGAACUCGUAUUUCAUGAUCAAAAUAUCUGUGUUAUAGACUAGCAUUAUGGAUUUUGUUAUCAAUAUUUUGUCAUUAACAGCUUAUUUUGAAACAACCCAUAAUUUGUUUAGUCAAAGACUAUAGAAAUUAUUCAAUUUUGUAUCAACAAAAUCGUACAUUUUGUAAUUGCAAAUUUGCCAUAAAUAAAAUAACUACGAAAAAUGAUGCUGAGAUGUAGAAAAUUAGUAUGUUCACUCUGACCGUAGCUAACAGUGACAGUUAUUAAUAUAUCCACUCUGACCUUAGCUAACAGUGACUAUUAUUAAUAUAUUCACUCCGACCUUAGCUUACAGUGACGAUUUAUAAUAUAUUCACGCUGAUCAUAGCUAACAAUGAUUAUUAAUAUAUUCACUCUGACCUGUGACCUCUGCAGUGUGCAUGUGUCGGCUUACUAUACCAUGUAUAUUACGUACUGUAUUUUUCCAUGUAUUACUGGAUGUGUGUGAUAGUCACAUAAAAUUUGCAUAUCAAGAGUUACUGAUCAUGACGCUUACAAAUAUGAAGUUUUAAUAACAGGUUCAAAUAAAUUUAUGUACAAG
rnacentral:sRNA from 1 species